rnacentral:misc_RNA from 1 species
CCGAGUUUACAACUCCCAAACCCAAUGUGAACGUUACCAAACUGUUGCCUCGGCGGGAUCUCUGCCCCGGGUGCGUCGCAGCCCCGGACCAAGGCGCCCGCCGGAGGACCAACCAAAACUCUUAUUGUAUACCCCCUCGCGGGUUUUUUAUAAUCUGAGCCUUCUCGGCGCCUCUCGUAGGCGUUUCGAAAAUGAAUCA